GGAGAGAUGACAUUCACGUUUUCCAUAUCUGGAUGACUGGCUGAAUUCAGACAGCUGAGCCACAUGGUAAACUAUGAAAAAUCUCUCUGCGUAUCAGUUUUUAGAAACAUCUAUUCAAAAUCAGCAAAAAUAUAUUCUCCCAAGUAUAGAUUUUGCUCUAUCCAGAUGAUUGACACCACAGAAAAAACCUGCCACAAACUUCUGAGCCCCAUGUUAGCUUGCACAUGUGUGACAUUACUAAGCAGACUUCAUCUAUGUGCAUUAAAGCCUAGCUAAAGUCAAUGUAUCACACUGCAAAACAUCAAAUAAGCAUGCCACUUCUACUCUGGGCUCCCAGCUUGUCAGUACCGAACAGGCGGUCAAACCAGCUGGUACCCUUCUCCACACUACUGCCUACAAAGACAUUGGUCACAGCUGCAUCAGGAACAGGGUGCAGUGCAUACCUGGACCACCUCCAUAUACAAGGACCUGCAUCCCAAAAGGGCAUGAGGCUACACAUAAAACUUUCUUGUCAUGACCUGCCCCUUCCUGGGCGGUAACCAUAUUUAUCAGGGUCUGUGGAUCACUAGUGCAGCCAUUUAACCUCUCUAGUCUUCUCGGGAUAUGUACCUAUCUUGGCUGCUUAUCCCGAUUCUGUUUUCGAGGGCCUUGCAACUCCCUUCCAAAACCCACCAACUGGCUACACUUCCAACUGCUUGGUUUGAUAAACAGUAAAUUUAUUUAACCUGACUAGACAUAACAAUGGUCAGUAACCUUUCUAGUUCUUGCACUGAAAGGGACAUUCUACGCUUUAGAGAACCUAGUGGAGCUUCCUCUCCUCACAGAAGCCACCCAAAGAAUCUUCUCUCCCUCUCUCCAGGAGUCAACUGCUGUUCCUUCAAAUUAACCCGCCGCCACCGAAUUACAAGCUGUCAUGGCUGACCCUUCACACAAUAUUCCGUAAAGAUAAGGUGGUUGUUGAGACCUCAUCCCAAAUUUAUUUCUGAACUUGUCACACUUAUUUGAACCAAUCUACCUGUCUUCAUUCCAAAACCCCAUUCCUCUCCAGUGGAGAAGAAAUUCCCCACUUUAGAUGUUUGUUUUUAGGCCUGUGAUAGGACAGAGCCCUUCAGACACUUCGUGUCUGUUGUUGUUGUUGUUGCCAUUUCUCGUACUUCUAAGGGACAAGCAGUUUCCGAGAUAAUAUCUGAACCUAAGUGGAUUACAGUGCAUUUCAGGCUGCUAUCACAUGGCUGGUAUCAAAGCUUAUUCCACUAAAGUGUGCUUUAGAAACAUCCACAUACCUGAAUUUUGUAAGGCAGUUAGUGGCAAGCAGGACUCCUCACUCCCAUCUUCCAAAUGGACCUCUGCUCAUCAGUCAUUUAGAAUUGGAGAUGCAUCUUAGCUGACCCCUUGAAGAACCACAGUUAUUAUAAGGUAAGUAACCAUUCUGUCUUCUAGUGCAGGCAGUGCCAUCUCCCAUAUCCUCCACUGUCUGAAGGGAACUGGAAGUUUUUUGAGAAAAGCAGUUGGUUCAAGCUAGAUCCAAUAAGAUGGUGAUGUUAUCGAAAACACUUUGGAAUUGGCAGCUUUUCAUUUUCAUUUUAAGAGAGGGCCUCUCACCACUGGGGAUCAAAAUGGUGCUUACUGCAUGCAUCAGUGCUCCUAGAUACAUUUGCUACAUAGCAACAAUUGCCAUAAACAACUUCUAAUAUCUAAAUAGUAAAUAACUGAAUAUUCAGGCCAUGCUAGACAUAUUUUUAAUGUUAGCAUUAUCAGUAGUAAAUAUCCUAUUAAAGAUCAACAGGGUGAACUAAAUACACUUAUGAGAUAACUGCUUCACCAUUGGGGUAGGUCUGUAAAUUCACUUGUAAUGAAAGACUGUUGUAUACGGAGUCACAUUUUCUAAAGUAAUGUGCAGUGUUGAAAGGAUAAUUUACUUUAGAUAAGAAGUGAGAGCUAGUACAUAUUCUGUUCCGUAGAUUGUGCUCUAAACACAAGCACGAAGACUUAAGUGAACUACUUAUAUAACAAAGGUAGCACUUUUGUGUGUGUGAAUUAUUCAGAUUUUUCUUUUAUGAAUUGGUUCAUUAUUUACAGUUAUCUGACAGAUGGUUUGAGCAUGUUUCAUCCUGUGGAUUAAUCUCAAGUAUUUGCUGCUUCAAGGAUUUGUUACCUAAUUUUCUGUCCGUUCUGUCUGGUCAUCUGUUUCUGCUCCCUGACUAGAUUCUCAUGGGUAUUUGCAACCUUUCUCUCCCUGUGAACACUCUAGGAACAAAAAUGUACUUGUACUGCAAACGCCAUUAAAGCAGAUUUUCUGUCUAUUUGAACCAAUGUUUAUUCAUGCUCAUUUUUUAUCAUUAACCCAGCUCUAGUGAAACAAGUCUUAUUCCCAUUAUUGUGGCAUAAUGAAUUCUAAACAGAGUAAUCUUUGAGCUGUGUGCACUAUCAUGGACCUAACUCUUCAUGCUUCUGUUUUGCUGCAGGGAAUGUGCAGAUACCUUGAGAGGUGUUUUCAGACUUCAGGCAGAGAGGCUUCGUUGUUGGAUAUGACACGCGAGGUCAGGUGACCAGCAGCUGCAGCAGUAAGAGGUGUCCAUUGUGGAAGGCAUAUAACCUCUCAUGGGCUGGCGCUGAACUGCUGCACAGAUCUUAUGUGGUUUGAUCACAUUGUUCCUUGUGGACUCGAAGGGACGGGUGUCACCUCGCUGAGCGAAGAACUCCAGAGACAUGUCACAGUUGAUGAAAUCACUGAGCCUUUUCUGGACGCUUUUGAAGAAGUGUUUCAGUGCUCCCUAACUUCCCAUGAGGAAUCUAUCGGAUAAAGGGCUCAGAGUGCCUCACUUACCUGUGGAAAUGUGAAUAUUUCUUUGGUGCUUUCAUGGUGUUACUAGAAAUCCAGCUUGCUUGUUCCAUCUUCCUAUCAGCAAUUAAAUACGUGUAACAAACUGUA